UACGGAGGGGGCGAGCGUUAUUCGGAAUUAUUGGGCGUAAAGGGCGCGUAGGCGGCCCGGUAAGUCAAAGGUGAAAUCCCUGGGCUCAACCCAGGAACUGCGUCCAAGACUGGGAGGCUUGAAUCCGGGAGAGGGAUGCGGAAUUCCAGGUGUAGCGGUGAAAUGCGUAGAUAUCUGGAGGAACACCGGUGGCGAAGGCGGCAUCCUGGACCGGUAUUGACACUGAGGCGCGAAAGCCAGGGGAGCAAACGGG
rnacentral:rRNA from 1 species